rnacentral:rRNA from 1 species
AUACGGAGGGUGCGAGCGUUAAUCGGAAUUACUGGGCGUAAAGCGCGCGUAGGCGGCUAAGUAAGUCGGAUGUGAAAGCCCUGGGCUCAACCUGGGAAUUGCAUUCGAUACUGCUUGGCUAGAGUAUGGUAGAGGGUAGUGGAAUUCCUGGUGUAGCGGUGAAAUGCGUAGAUAUCGGAAGGAACACCAGUGGCGAAGGCGACUUCCUGGCCCAAUACUGACGCUGAGGUGCGAAAGCGUGGGGAGCAAACAGGAUUAGAAACCCCAGUAGUCC